AAGGCAAUAAUUCUUCAGUUUUGGCAGAAUAGUUUGAUCAUAUAUGGAAUUGUGUUUAUGUCCAUUGAUAGACAGGUUGUCUAAAAAAAAAAAAAAGAAGAGUGAUGUGAUGUUGAGAUACGCUGUCUGCGUAGUGACGUAAGCACCCACUAGUGGACAAGAGCAGUACAGUUCCGCCUGAUGUAUGAAGCAGAUGCAUGCAAGUGAUGUCCGUCAGUAAAGCAUCCAAAUCAAUCUAACUGUCUCGUUAUUGAACAAACAACAAUCGACACACGGAAACAUUACACUCACCCUCGUAAGCCUCAUUCCCAAUCCGGGUCACGGCACCAAUGAAGGCUGUGCUGUGUAGACAGCAAAGUUAAAACCUUGGAUGUGGGAGGCAGGCAUGCUAGCAAGUAGGCGGAAACCCAUGGGUACUAGCCUCUAUCACUAGUGCAUCUCCAAAGGUGUCUGGAGACAUUUUCUUCACACUGCUGCUGGCUACAAUUUCACAGGAAAUCGAGAGAAAGAAACUUGGCCUGUUCACAUGGGAGACUUGAGAGUUUGUUUUGUUCUAUCGGGUCUAUUUGUUGUUACUUACUUAUUUUAUUGAGGGGGGAAGUGGUUUUAAGAUGUGGUCUAUGAUAUAAUACGAAUUUUUACAUUUUACUUUGCUUCUUCGUGUCAUUAGGUUCAAGAGCAGGUAUAUACAAAAGGAUUAGCAACUAAGGACUCGCAUGACCACUGUGACUAUCUGGAUUCAUGGCAGCAGAAUGCUAUCAGUCCUGUUGAAGAAUGUGGGGCCUGAUGUACUGAAGAAUGGCAUAGCACUGAAAGAGAUGAGGCAGAUAGCCUCAGACCCAGAUGAUGAACACUUUUUUGAAGUUUAAGAGUAUAAAGCGUUGGAAGCCAUUCUGUACUCAUUACAGUUGGCCAUCACUGAAACAGAUCCGGCAUCUUCCACCUCACAGAUGAC
rnacentral:lncRNA from 1 species